AUUUGUUAGAAAGGAGACCCGACUGCAACUGCUGGAUUGCUGCAAGGCUGAGGGACGAGAACGAGGCUGGCAAACAUUCAGCAGCACACCCUCUCAAGAUUGUUUACUUGCCUUUGCUCCUGUUGAGUUACAACGCUUGGAAGCAGGAGAUGGGCUCAGCAGCAGCCAAUAGGACAUGAUCCAGGAAGAGCAGUAAGGGACUGAGCUGCUGGUAAGACAGUGGAGACAGUUGACAC
rnacentral:lncRNA from 1 species